rnacentral:rRNA from 1 species
GAUGAACGCUGGCGGCGUGCCUAAUACAUGCAAGUCGAGCGAAUGGAUUAAGAGCUUGCUCUUAUGAAGUUAGCGGCGGACGGGUGAGUAACACGUGGGUAACCUGCCCAUAAGACUGGGAUAACUCCGGGAAACCGGGGCUAAUACCGGAUAACAUUUUGAACCGCAUGGUUCGACAUUGAAAGGCGGCUGCGGCUGUCACUUAUGGAUGGACCCGCGUCGCAUUAGCUAGUUGGUGAGGUAACGGCUCACCAAGGGAACGAUGCGUAGCCGACCUGAGAGGGUGAUCGGCCACACUGGGACUGAGACACGGCCCAGACUCCUACGGGAGGCAGCAGUAGGGAAUCUUCCGCAAUGGACGAAAGUCUGACGGAGCAACGCCGCGUGAGUGAUGAAGGCUUUCGGGUCGUAAAACUCUGUUGUUAGGGAAGAACAAGUGCUAGUUGAAUAAGCUGGCACCUUGACGGUACCUAACCAGAAAGCCACGGCUAACUACGUGCCAGCAGCCGCCGUAA